rnacentral:rRNA from 1 species
UUGACGGGACCGCACAAGCGGUGGAUGAUGUGGAUUAAUUCGAUGCAACGCGAAAACCUUACCUACCUUGACAUGUCCGGAAUCCCGAAGAGAUUUGGGAGUGCUCGCAAGAGAACCGGAACACAGGUGCUGCAUGGCUGUCGUCAGCUCGUGUCGUGAGAUGUUGGGUUAAGUCCCGCAACGAGCGCAACCCUUGUCAUUAGUUGCCAUCAUUUGGUUGGGCACUCUAAUGAGACUGCCGGUGACAAACCGGAGGAAGGUGGGGAUGACGUCAAGUCCUCAUGGCCCUUAUGGGUAGGGCUUCACACGUCAUACAAUGGUCGGUACAGAGGGUUGCCAACCCGCGAGGGGGAGCUAAUCCCACAAAGCCGAUCGUAGUCCGGAUCGCAGUCUGCAACUCGACUGCGUGAAGUCGGAAUCGCUAGUAAUCGCGGAUCAGCACGCCGCGGUGAAUACGUUCCCGGGCCUU